UGCAAGUCGAGCGGACCGACGGGAGCUUGCUCCCUUAUGUCAGCGGCGGACGGGUGAGUAACACGUGGGUAACCUGCCUGUAAGACUGGGAUAACUCCGGGAAACCGGGGCUAAUACCGGAUGCUUGAUUGAACCGCAUGGUUCAAUCAUAAAAGGUGGCUUUUAGCUACCACUUGCAGAUGGACCCGCGGCGCAUUAGCUAGUUGGUGAGGUAACGGCUCACCAAGGCGACGAUGCGUAGCCGACCUGAGAGGGUGAUCGGCCACACUGGGACUGAGACACGGCCCAAACUCCUACGGGAGGCAGCAGUAGGGAAUCUUCCGCAAUGGACGAAACUCUGACGGACCAACGCCGCGUGAGUGAUGAAGGUUUUCGGAUCGUAAAACUCUGUUGUUAGGGAAGAACAAGUACCGUUCGAAUAGGGCGGCACCUUGACGGUACCUAACCAGAAACCACGGCUAACUACGUGCCAGAGCCGCGGUAAUACGUAGGUGGCAAGCGUUGUCCGGAAUUAUUGGGCGUAAAGCGCGCGCAGGCGGUUUCUUAAGUCUGAUGUGAAAGCCCCCGGCUCAACCGGGGAGGGGCAUUGGAAACUGGGGAACUUGAGUGCAGAAGAGGAGAGUGGAAUUCCACGUGUAGCGGUGAAAUGCGUAGAGAUGUGGAGGAACACCAGUGGCGAAGGCGACUCUCUGGUCUGUGACUGACGCUGAGGCGCGAAAGCGUGGGGAGCGAACAGGAUUAGAUACCCUGGUAGUCCACCCCGUAAACGAUGAGUGCUAAGUGUUAGAGCGUUUCCGCCCUUUAGUGCUGCAGCAAACGCACUAAGCACUCCGCCUGGGGAGUACGGUCGCUAGACUGAAACUC
rnacentral:rRNA from 1 species